UCUCUGAGAGCUGAUCUGAGCUGCUGCUAAGGACCGAAACGCGCCUCAAGCUGUCACUUGCCGCCUGGAGUUCGUUGGGAAAGUUGAAAAAGCCUAGUCCUGUUUAGGAAAUCUAUCCAGCUGUGUAUAUACUUUUUGCUUUUAGGGUAUGAAGCUCAGGAAGGAUAAGAAAAACAAGAUCACACAGCUGGCAAGUGGCAAAGCAGGACACAAUUUAUAACUCCAGAACGAGAAUUUGCAGUUGUUGCGCCAGAUGCCCUGUAGCGGGGCUGCCACCAAGAAGGUGGAAGAACACCUUUAAUUCCAGCACUCAGGACACAGAAACAGGGUUGAGCCCAGAAAACCAUGCAAACACUUGUUCACACACAAGCCCAUAGUUCUCAUCUUAAAAGGAGCAAGAGAUAGCUUAUUCUGGAGCCAUUUUGAGUAAUAACGAC
rnacentral:lncRNA from 1 species